GGGGGCGUAAAGGCUUCGACGGGGGCCCGGCACCGAGAUAAGCGAGCAGCGUUGCGGACACGCUUUAAACGCCGUAACUUUAAAAUUAAACGACAACAAUACUGUUGCCUACGCUGCUUAAUUAAGCAGCCGUCUUUACCCGAAGUACCGCGGUCGGGAUAAAGGCGUCGAUUAGCGGUGAACGUAAGUCGGCAUGCGCCUCGAACCGGCUUAUGAAUAAGAGGCUACCGAGUUUUCCGGCCUGCCGCUCGGCAGGGAAAUGAGGGAAUUUUAAACGAACGGCUGCGCUCGGAGAAAUUUUCGGGAAAAGGCUUUCGGACACGGGUUCGAUUCCCGUCGCCUCCACCA
rnacentral:tmRNA from 1 species